rnacentral:rRNA from 1 species
GAUGAACGCUAGCGGCAGGCCUAAUACAUGCAAGUCGAACGGUAGAUCGGGUAGCAAUACUUGAUUGAGAGUGACGUAAGGGUGCGUAACACGUAUGCAAUCUACCCUCAACAGGAGUAUAGCUCGGGGAAACUCGGAUUAACACUCCAUAACAUUACGAUGUGGCAUCACAUUGUGAUUAAAACUCCGGUGGUUGAGGAUGAGCAUGCGUCUGAUUAGUUAGUUGGAGGUGUAACGGACCCCCAAGACGAUGAUCAGUAGGGGAACUGAGAGGUUGAUCCCCCACACUGGCACUGAGAUACGGGCCAGACUCCUACGGGAGGCAGCAGUGAGGAAUAUUGCGCAAUGGAGGCAACUCUGACGCAGCCAUGCCGCGUGCAGGAAGAAGGCGCUACGCGUUGUAAACUGCUUUUAAACCGGGAAGAAACCCUCCGACGUGUCGGAGGUUGACGGUACCGGAGGAAUAAGCACCGGCUAACUU